GGUAAGAUGGCUGAGUGUUAAGCGGUGGAUUGUAGACCCAUGAACAGAGGAUCAAACCCUCUUCUUAUCA
rnacentral:tRNA from 1 species